rnacentral:rRNA from 1 species
ACGAACGCUGGCGGCGUGCUUAACACAUGCAAGUCGAACGGAAAGGCCCUGCUUGCAGGGUACUCGAGUGGCGAACGGGUGAGUAACACGUGGGUGAUCUGCCCUGCACUUCGGGAUAAGCCUGGGAAACUGGGUCUAAUACCGGAUAGGAGCCAUUUUUAGUGUGAUGGGUGGAAAGUUUUUUCGGUGUAGGAUGAGCUCGCGGCCUAUCAGCUUGUUGGUGGGGUAAUGGCCUACCAAGGCGGCGACGGGUAGCCGGCCUGAGAGGGUGGACGGCCACAUUGGGACUGAGAUACGGCCCAGACUCCUACGGGAGGCAGCAGUGGGGAAUAUUGCACAAUGGGCGCAAGCCUGAUGCAGCGACGCCGCGUGGGGGAUGACGGCCUUCGGGUUGUAAACUCCUUUCGCUAGGGACGAAGCUUUUUGUGACGGUACCUAGAUAAGAAGCACCGGCUAACUACGUG